rnacentral:rRNA from 1 species
AACGAACGCUGGCGGCAGGCUUAACACAUGCAAGUCGAACGCAUCCUUCGGGGUGAGUGGCAGACGGGUGAGUAACGCGUGGGAACGUGCCCUUCAGUUCGGGAUAACCCAGGGAAACUUGGGCUAAUACCGGAUACGUGCGAGAGCAGAAAGAUUUAUCGCUGAAGGAUCGGCCCGCGUCUGAUUAGCCAGUUGGUGGGGUAAUGGCCCACCAAGGCGACGAUCAGUAGCUGGUCUGAGAGGAUGAUCAGCCACAUUGGGACUGAGACACGGCCCAAACUCCUACGGGAGGCAGCAGUGGUGAAUAUUUGACAAUGGGCGCAAGCCUGAUCCAGCCAUGCCGCGUGAGUGAUGAAGGCCUUAGGGUUGUAAAGCUCUUUCGUCCGGGACGAUAAUGACGGUACCGGAAGUAGAAGCCCCGGCUAACUUCGUGCCAGCCGCCGCCGUAA